rnacentral:rRNA from 1 species
AUUGAACGCUGGCGGCAGGCCUAACACAUGCAAGUCGAGCGGAUGAAGGGAGCUUGCUCCUGGAUUCAGCGGCGGACGGGUGAGUAAUGCCUAGGAAUCUGCCUGGUAGUGGGGGAUAACGUCCGGAAACGGGCGCUAAUACCGCAUACGUCCUGAGGGAGAAAGUGGGGGAUCUUCGGACCUCACGCUAUCAGAUGAGCCUAGGUCGGAUUAGCUAGUUGGUGGGGUAAAGGCCUACCAAGGCGACGAUCCGUAACUGGUCUGAGAGGAUGAUCAGUCACACUGGAACUGAGACACGGUCCAGACUCCUACGGGAGGCAGCAGUGGGGAAUAUUGGACAAUGGGCGAAAGCCUGAUCCAGCCAUGCCGCGUGUGUGAAGAAGGUCUUCGGAUUGUAAAGCACUUUAAGUUGGGAGGAAGGGCGGUAAGUUAAUACCUUGCUGUUUUGACGUUACCAGCAGAAUAAGCACCGGCUAACUUCGU